UUUGGAUUGUCUACGUUUUGUUCU
rnacentral:siRNA from 1 species